GCCCCCGCGGCCUAGUGGCUAGCGCGCCUGUUUCGUAAAUAUUGGACGCGGGUUCGACCCCCACCGGUGUCA